rnacentral:rRNA from 1 species
AUUGAACGCUGGCGGCAGGCCUAACACAUGCAAGUCGAACGAGAGGCGGACGGGAGGGUAAUGUCUGGGAAUCUGAGUGUGGGAUGGGGUUAACUACUGGAAACGGUAACUAAUACCGCAUAGCAUCGCAUAUGCCGGGAUGGGAUUAGCUAGUAGGUGGGGGAACGGCUCACCAAGGCGAUGAUCCCUAGCUAGUCUGAGAGGAUGAACAGCCACACUGGAACUGAGACACGGUCCAGACUCCUACGGGAGGCAGCAGUGGGGAAUAUUGCACAAUGGGCGCAAGCCUGAUGCAGCCAUGCCGCGUGUAUGAAGAAGGCCUUCGGGUUGUAAAGUACUUUCAGCGGGGAGGCGUUACUCGCAGAAGAAGCACCGGCUAACUCCGUGCCAGCAGCCGCGGUAAUUC